rnacentral:lncRNA from 1 species
CGCUCAAAUGUCCUGUCUGAAAACUCAGGUAAGGUUAAUAUCCCGGCGCUCAAAUGUCCUAUGAAGUCGGCGCUCAAAUGACCCUAUGUGCUUUUUUCUUUUUCGCUCAAAUGUCCUAUGCCCGAUAUACAAGAGACUACCUUGCUAACCCACCCAAAGAUUCUUGUAAAGUUUGAACUUUAUAAAGAUAAGUGUAAUUAUGCCUCCCCUGAGUAAAGACUGUUUAACCUUUCUUAAUUGAAAGUUAUAAAACUUUAUUAAAUUACUGAAAAAAAGUUUCAUUUUCUCAAAAAUUCAAAUAUAAAUAGUGUAUUCAUGUUCUUAAUAAAUUUAGAUUUCAUGUUCUUAAUAAAUUUAGAUUUAGAGUUGUCUUAUUGGCUCUCCUACCACACAACUUAUUUCUAUUAUCUUAUUCCAGCAUGAAUAUAUAUAAAAUUUCUCCUUGGAACUCAUUGGAGCUUAACUAGAUUUAAACCAAAGGAUCAUAGUUUCAUCUGAAAUUUUCAUACUCAUGUUUUUACAUACAGGCUUUUUAAGUAUAACUUAUCAGAAAACUGAAAAACAUGUACAUCAAUAAAUCUGCCUUUCGUAGAAAUGUAAUACUUUCUCCAAUUUCAUAACUAUGGUCAAUUUGAUAUACUGUAAAUUCAGAAAUUAUUGCAAUGUUUUUAUUUUUGAGAAAAAUGUGACAGGGUUAUAAUCACAAUAAUGUAAACUCGCAUUUUGAAAUGUUUGUUAUGAAAUAAACAGGAUUUUUCUCAAUAUAGCAAAACUUAAUAAGCAUUUUAGUCUAAAAUGAAAAAAUCGCAAUAAUUUCUCACGGUACAGUAUUGUGUAGUUUUCUAAAUGCUAUUUAUAUUUAUUAAAGAAGAUUUUUAGUAUCUAGUUAAUAUAUAUUCAGCAACAUUUGAUAGAAAUGAUGUUUAUGAAAUGAAUUUAAUUAAUAUUUGAUUGCUAUUUGAAUCUCUUGUUUCAUUUUAUUAAUAGCUGGUCAUUAUGAAUAUAUUGUAAUAUUAUUAUUGGACUGUUGUCAAAUGGUUCAUGUUCAAUUCUGUAAUAAAAAAAUAAAAAUUAUCUACAUUCUUCACAAUUAACCAAAAGUCAAAGGACUCAGGCCAUUAGUAAUGUUAUAGUUACCGUUAGAUUUUCCUGAAAAGAGGCAUCACAAGCCAUAUUUGUUUAAAGACGUUUGAUGAAAGACUGAUUGAAGGGUUUUUAAUUCAAAACAUUUUUUGUGAAGACUUGUCCUUCACUUGAUAAGUAUGUAGGAUUAGAAUGUAUUGAACAAACACAAAAAAAUCUGAUUUGUUUUCUUUAUGACUUUGCUGUAAAUAGAUCCAGGCAUGUGUCAGCAUAGAGUGAUAAAAAAGGAUAAAGAAGGAGUCCACC